GACGAACGCUGGCGGCGUGCUUAACACAUGCAAGUCGAACGGAAAGGCCCCUUUGGGGGUCCUCGAGUGGCGAACGGGUGAGUAACACGUGAGUAACCUGCCCUUGCCUUCGGGAUAACUUCAGGAAACUGGGGCUAAUACCGGAUAGGAAUCCUUUCUUCAUGGUGGGGGUUGGAAAGCUUCGGCGGUUUUGGAUGGACUCGCGGCUUAUCAGCUUGUUGGUGGGGUAGUGGCUUACCAAGGCUUUGACGGGUAGCCGGCCUGAGAGGGCGACCGGCCACAUUGGGACUGAGAUACGGCCCAGACUCCUACGGGAGGCAGCAGUGGGGAAUAUUGCACAAUGGGCGGAAGCCUGAUGCAGCAACGCCGCGUGCGGGAUGACGGCCUUCGGGUUGGAAACCGCUUUCAGCAGGGGCGAAGCUUGUGGUGACGGUACCUGCAGAAGAAGCACCGGCUAACUACGUG
rnacentral:rRNA from 1 species